GAUUUCAUUCCGGUGGCCUAGUGGUUAAAGCGUCCGCCUCGGAUGCAGGAGGUCGUGGAUUCGAUCCUCUUGCGAGUCA